UACGUAGGGAGCAAGCGUUGUCCGGAAUCAUUGGGCGUAAAGCGCGCGUAGGUGGCUUCGUAAGUCCGUUGUGAAAGCAAAGGCUCAACCUUUGAAAGCCGAUGGAUACUGUGAAGCUAGAGUACGGAAGAGGCGAGUGGAAUUCCUGGUGUAGCGGUGGAAUGCGCAGAUAUCAAGGAGGAACACCAAUAGCGAAGGCAGCUCGCUGGGACGUUACUGACACUGAGGCGCGAAAGCGUGGGGAGCGAACAGGAUAGAAACC
rnacentral:rRNA from 1 species